UUUAAAAGUUGCUCUCUUUUUUGUUUUUUUGCAUUGUUAUGGUUACAUUCUUUGAUAUCAAAACUUUAGAAUCUAAAAGCAUCACUCUCAAAAACACACUCUCUAGAUUGAUUCAACAAUGCAAGAACCUUAGACAAAUCAAAAUAAUUCAUACCCAAAUUUUAAAGUCUCCAACUUUACAUAAUAAUGACCAAUAUCAUCUCAUUACUCGUUUACUUUUCUUUUGUUCUUUCUCAAAUUAUGGUUCUUUCACCUAUGCCAACAAUGUCUUUCACAUGAUCAACAACCCAGAUCUUCGAGUUUAUAACAUCAUGAUUAGAGCAUAUGGUUGCAUUGAAGGUGGUGAUGAAACCCUUUAUUUUAAAGCUUUGAUGAUGUAUAAGCAAAUGCUUUAUAAGGGCAUUGUGCCCAAUAACCUUACUUUUCCUUUUCUUCUAAAGGGUUGUUAUAGGUUAUCGGAUGGUGAUUUUAUUGUUCAAGUUAUUCAUGCUCAUGUGUUAAAGUUUGGAUUUUUAAAUGACGUUUUUGUUGGGAAUUCUUUUAUUAGUUUGUAUAUGAAAUUUGGGUUGUUGAAUAAUGCAUUGAAGUUGUUUGAUGAAAUGUUUGUUAGAGAUGUUGUCACUUGGAAUAUAAUGAUUGUUGGGUGUUUGAGAAUUGGGGAGAUUGAAUUGGCAUUGAAUUUGUUUAGGAAGAUGAAUAGAAGAAAUAUUAUAACUUGGAAUUCGAUUAUUACCGGGUUGGUUCAAGCUGGGUAUGCGAAGGAGUCACUGGAAAUUUUCCAUGAAAUGCAGUUUUUGAGUGAUUAUUUUGUUAAACCAGAUAAGAUUACAAUAGCUAGUGUUCUUUCAGCUUGUGCUCAAUUAGGUUCUAUAGAUCAUGGUAGAUGGAUGCAUGCAUAUCUAAGAAAAAAUAGCAUAGAAUGUGAUGUUGUAAUUGGAACAGCACUUGUUAAUAUGUAUGGAAAAUGUGGAAAUGUGCAGCAAGCAUUUGAGAUCUUUAAUGACAUGCCUGAGAAGGAUGUUUCGGCGUGGACGACAAUGAUUUCAGUUUUUGCUCUUCAUGGAUUAGGUUGGAAAGCUUUCGAUUGUUUUUUAGAUAUGGAAAGAGCUGGAGUAAAGCCUAAUCAUGUGACGUUUGUCGGACUAUUGUCAGCUUGUGCUCAUUCUGGAUUGGUCGAGCAAGGUCGACGGUGCUUCGAUUUAAUGAAACAUGCUUACUUGAUUGAGCCGCAAAUUUAUCACUAUGCUUGCAUGGUUGAUAUUCUUAGUCGAGCGAGGCUCUUUGAGGAAUCAAUGAUUCUCAUACAAAGCAUGCCGAUGAAGCCAGAUGUUUAUGUAUGGGGUGCAUUACUUGGUGGUUGUCAGAUGCAUGGAAAUAUUGAGUUAGGAGAAAAGGUAGCUCAUCGUUUGAUAGAUUUGGAACCUCAUAAUCAUGCUUUCUAUAUGAAUUUAUGUGAUAUAUAUGCCAAAGCUGGUAGGUUUGAUGCUGCAAAAAGAAUUAGGAAUUUAAUGAAAGAAAGAAGGAUUGAAACAAAAGUCCCUGGCUGUAGCAUGAUUGAAAUCAAUGGAGUGGUUCAAGAAUUUUCGGCUGGCGGUUCUUUUCAACUUCCAAUGAAAGAACUUGUAUUGAUCUUAGAUAGAUUAAGCAAUGAGAUGAAGAUAUGAACUCAGUGAGUUAGCAAGAGAACUUCUGAAGCAGAACUUCGUUACUUAUAUAGCAAAAUCUGCCCUGGUGUUGUCAAAUAGCAGCUGCAGCAAAGUGUGAUCAAAUUGAGGCUAUAGUAACGCUAUAACACUUUAGUGAAACGGAGUUUGAACAAUCUGCUAUUUUCCGUGAUUUGCAAUCUGCAAUUGACAACACUAAUCGGCACAUUGAGUUAUUAUGCAGCUGUAGUUUAACAGUAUAUGUGUUCUAAUUUCUGGAUACCGAGCAAUUCGAUGAUUAAAUAAUGGCUAUGAAAAUCAAUAUUCGUUCAUUUAUUCGGUAAAGAAGACCUCGGUAUUCAGGAAGUAACGAUUUCAUGCAUUAACUCUUGAUUAUUGGGGUUUUGACAUUUGAGCUAGGGGACAUAUGCAAGGAAAAUCUUGUUGCAUUCAGACUACACUCAUUCAAUUAUAUUCAAACUUCAGAUGUCAAAAAACAAAUUGAUAAGGGUUUUGAUUGUCCAAAGCCAAGUUCAGGUCAAGGUUGAAGUGGACGAUUUGAUUGACGACAUUUUGAAACGACUCUGCCACGAGGCUUCCCAUGUUCUCUAAGAGCAUAUCCAAUGGUGAAUUCAACAUAGAUUCAUUAAAUGAGGUCUACCAUACUACAUCAUCUUAAAACAACUAAUUCAAUUUUUACUUCAACGGUGGACUCUAGGUUCAUUAAAUAGGACCCACCACUAACAGUAAUACAUUUAUUAUUAUUAUUUAUAAAUUAAUAAAAAAAAGGGUAAAGAUUAUAAUUUUAUUAUUAUUAAAUUAUGAAAGUACUGUUCCUUUCUGAGAGAACUGUGAUGACAGCUUGACACAUCUCCAACAGUGAACUCGCCAAAAACUGAAUUUUACGCAACUACACGCUGACAGAUGAACUUAUUUGACUACCAUUGGAGAUGCUCUAAGCAAUCAACACUUAACAUUAUAGAUCCAUAGUGGCAUUUGGAGAGCAAAAAUUGAGCAAGUUACUCCCUGAUUUGAUCACAUCUCACCAAUGCCACAUGGCCCCCUAAGUUUUCCUCAUCAAUCCCACAAUGUCCUAACCACCUCGACAAUUAUCUUUUCACAAGAUCAUCAUAUAAAAUAGUCACACUCUUCAAAUGCAAGGUACGUAAUUACUCUCACUAAAAAUAUACCUUUCGCUCCCUCGGAAGUGUUACUGAUUUGGACAUCGCAGUGUUUGUAGAUACAAUCUAUUGAGUGUUACUUUGCCAUGCUUCUUCCUCAUCAACGCAAACCGUCUCUGACCGUCACCAAAGUUCCACUUCGUAUUACGUAGUUUAUAAUGAGACACCUCUCAAUUUAUAAGUCGAUUUUGUAAAAAUAAAUUAAGUUUAAUAUAAAAAUCUAAUAUGGUAUCAAGCGCUUAUCCAAGAUCCCUUGGACCACGUGCUAUCAAGUUACUUUCAUAGGCCCACUCAAGUCACGGUCUAGAUGUCGAGACCUAGGCAUGAAUGGAUGUGUUAAAAGUAAAGAGUCUCACAUUGGAUGAGUUUAUAAAAUGUGUUUAUCAAGUACUCAUUUUCCAAGUCAAUUUUGUAUCGCCCGACCUAAAUUCUAAUAGUCAUAUUUUGAAAAGGAAUCAUUUUACAAGUCAAUUUUGUAUGGACCGACUUAAAUUCUAAUAGUUGUAUUUUGAAAAGCAAUCACUUUACAUGUCCUUUUCAACAAUUCUAUAUUAUUUUCUUACUUUAAUACUGUCGCAACCUAAAAUUUUAAGGGUUAGCUCGAAUUCAACAGAGUAGCCACCAAAGUUUAUUUUAAUAUGAUAAACAUUGAAAAACCCUUGAAAACAUACAAAUGACCUUUUGAAACCAGAUUUAUGAUUUGGGAGUCGGUUAUGCGUAUAAUAGAUAUUAAUAUCAUACGACAUCCGUAAAAAAUAGUUACUUAUAAUUAACUAUGCAAAAUUU